GAUGAACGCUGGCGGCGUGCUUAACACAUGCAAGUCGAACGGAAAGGCCCAAGCUUGCUUGGGUACUCGAGUGGCGAACGGGUGAGUAACACGUGGGUGAUCUGCCCUGCACUUCGGGAUAAGCCUGGGAAACUGGGUCUAAUACCGGAUAGGACCACAUUUUGGAUGGUGUGGUGGAAAGUUUUUCGGUGUGGGAUGAGCUCGCGGCCUAUCAGCUUGUUGGUGGGGUAAUGGCCUACCAAGGCGUCGACGGGUAGCCGGCCUGAGAGGGUGUACGGCCACAUUGGGACUGAGAUACGGCCCAGACUCCUACGGGAGGCAGCAGUGGGGAAUAUUGCACAAUGGGCGCAAGCCUGAUGCAGCGACGCCGCGUGGGGGAUGACGGCCUUCGGGUUGUAAACUCCUUUCGCUAGGGACGAAGCGUUAUGUGGCGGUACCUGGAGAAGAAGCACCGGCUAACUACGUG
rnacentral:rRNA from 1 species